rnacentral:rRNA from 1 species
UACGGAGGGUGCAAGCGUUCUCCGGAUUUACUGGGUUUAAAGGGUGCGUAGGUGGGUAGGUAAGUCAGUGGUGAAAUCUUCAAGCUUAACUUGGAAACUGCCAUUGAUACUAUUUAUCUUGAAUACUUUGGAGGUAAGCGGAAUAUGUCAUGUAGCGGUGAAAUGCUUAGAUAUGACAUAGAACACCAAUUGCGAAGGCAGCUGACGAAACUGUAACUGACACUGAGGCUCGAAAGUGUGGGGAUCAAACAGG